AAGAGGAAGUUGAGACUUCCACCUGGCCACUUUGGACUCCUCGUGCCUCUGAAUCAACAGGCAAAGAAGUGAGUUACAGAUCCUAACCACCCAGGAGAAAUUAGGUGGCCACUACACAAAGUGACUUUUCUGACUCUGGGGCCUGGUGUUUGCGUUUAGCUCCAUGGUGAAGAGACUCAUCUUCUGAUGGACUCCUCUCCCAUCAAGAUCAGAGGUAACGAGGAAUGGCACGCAUUUCAGUUCAUCGUUUGGUGGCUCCAGCUUGUAUAUGUGAGUUCUAGAUUAAUUUUUAUUUCUCCCACUUUACAGUCAUCUUUCCUUUCCAACUACCCUCCUUGUGGACUGCAAGCUCCAGCAUCACAAGCAAAGACAAGAACCUUGCAGAAAGAACUUAACUCCCACAAUUGCAUAGGAGGAAUCAUGAUCCUGAGAACAUAGGGUAGAUCCCUGCUUCUUCCACUUCUUGCUGUCCUCCCAUUAUUUGGCUCUAAAUGCAAACUUAGUUAUGAGAAGUACAUAGAAGAACAGGUAUAUUAAAGCCCGGGCUUUUUGACCAGAGGAUGUGGAAAAGAGGUUGCAGAGAAUUCAGAAGUAUUCUGGAGAUUGCAAAAAUGAGGGACCUAAAGAGACAGCAAGAGUGAGAACAAAGAAAAAAAUGUU